rnacentral:tRNA from 1 species
UCCCUUCUAGCUCAGUUGGUAAAGAAUCCGUCUGCAAUGCGGGAGACCUGGGUUCGAUCCCUGGGUUGGGAA